UACGUAGGGUGCAAGCGUUGUCCGGAUUUAUUGGGCGUAAAGAGCUCGUAGGCGGUUUGUCGCGUCGGCUGUGAAAUCUCGGGGCUCAACCCCGAGCUUGCAGUCGAUACGGGCAGACUGGAGUUCGGUAGGGGAGACUGGAAUUCCUGGUGUAGCGGUGAAAUGCGCAGAUAUCAGGAGGAACACCGGUGGCGAAGGCGGGUCUCUGGGCCGAUACUGACGCUGAGGAGCGAAAGCGUGGGGAGCGAACAGG
rnacentral:rRNA from 1 species